UCGAAGUUAGUUAAAAAAAUAAUUUUUUCUUUGGGGGUAAAAGUUUCUUGAAAAAGAGUUUCGAA
rnacentral:tRNA from 1 species